GAGGGUAUGGCCCAAGUGGUAGAGUGUGUGCUUAGCAAGCAUGAGGUCCUGGGUUCAAUUCCCAGUAACUCCA
rfam:Camelus ferus unplaced genomic scaffold scaffold338, whole genome shotgun sequence.